rnacentral:rRNA from 1 species
AGCGAAUCCUUAAAAGCCGGUCUCAGUUCGGAUCGGGGUCUGCAACUCGACCCCGUGAAGUCGGAGUCGCUAGUAAUCGCAGAACAACAACGCUGCGGUGAAUACGUUCCCGGGCCUUGUACACACCGCCCGUCGCGUCAUGAAAGUCGGUAACACCCGAAGCCAGUGGCCUAACCCUCGGGAGGGAGCUGUCGAAGGUGGGAUCGGGGAUUGGGACGAAGUCGUAACAAGGUAGC